ensembl:lncRNA
MGGAGGGCAGAUGCCGGGUGACGGCAUUGCUGUGCCGGAAUACGUAACGCGUGUAAAUGUUAAGCUCCGGCUGUGCAAUACCUCUCUUUUCCUAAUUACUAGGCCUUUCCUUGUCAAGCGCGCUGUUGGUYUUACAGUGAAGUAAGCGCGCAGAGCUCGGUUCAGUAGGAGAACUGUGUCUGACAAAUGGGAGGUUUCCGCUGCGGAAGAGCUCGCCGCCGGGAGCACGUGCACGGACAGCGCCGACAGCCACAAAAGAACUCAGGAGUGGGAUAUAACUGCCAGAUGAUGACUCCCUGCCUCCCCCACAUCCAUUUUUUGUACCAUUWUUCCUACCAUUUUUCAUUGUAUGUGCUGCCUAUACUUUCAUACCCUGUGAUGACAAAACAAACUGACCUCAGCAGGUUGCCAGCUCUGGAAGAGUGCUUCACAGUCCRUUGCCUGACUGACUAGAGAGGAAUUUAUGCCAUGGAGUCCUUGAUUACCAGCCUGUCUGCACAGAGCAACAGCCUCUUGAUGCUGGGGGCAUAGAAGUUCGGUGCUCUGGAUGGAUGUUGCAGAGAAGAAUCAGAAGAACUAUUUAAAGAGGGACCAUUCCUAUGAAGAGAGGCARGUCCACAACCAUGGAGAGACGGUGGGAAGGAAUCUCACUGAACUUGAAGUGAUGAUUGUUCCUUUGUUUCAAGAGGGGAAGUCACACUACGUGAUGAGGAGGAAGGAGGAAAGGGAUAACCUCUAGACUUCUUCCACCCACCUGACCCCAUCAGCAGGUUUUUUCUACUUUCCUUUUUGGAAAACAUCUGUGAUUUAAAAAAGAAAAAACAACACACCAAACUUCUCAUCUAACCACCACCUACUUUCUUGCUGGUGUGCCUUUCUAGGGCUUAAGCUAGCAGUGCAGCUGAAGGCUUGGUGGAGCUCUGUGUGAACUUGGCAGUUAGGAAGGCUGAACUGCAGAAGCAUCCAGACAGGAGUCUGCUUGGGAGAGUUUACCGGAUGGACCAGAGAUCAUGUCCAGACUCUGCCCAGGCCACCCUAGGACUCUUYACAAAGGCCGGGGCUAUCCAGAGAAGAGAACUGAGCAAAGAGGUGACAAGAGUGGGCAAAGAGAAUGAAAAUACAGAUGGUAAAUGUUUSAAUUAGUUGCUGCAUUCUGUAUAUGCACAGGACAUUGAGCAUCCUUUUAUUUCAGCCAUACAAAUAACUCUGCAGUCUUCUGAUGACAUGAUGUAUUGUCAUAUAAUUGCAUAGCUAAUUUGACAGCAAGAAUAAGUUAAUACCUUAAUGUAAGUGGUCUGCAAGUUACACUAGUCUUCCACAUUGUAUUUCCCUCAGUUAAGCUGCCAGGUAGCCUGUAAACAACUUUUGUAAGCAACUUGUGAUGAUAAUGGUGUAAUUAUUCUCUGGCAAAUCUUGAACCUCAGAUAGAGAAAGCCCAGCUCUCUUGUGCCRUAGCUAGAAAUGGUCACUACUCUGUUCUGUUUCAGCAGGUGGAGAAAUUCACCAGUCUCAAUGAAAGGAAGGGAAAUACUAGGAAAACUGUAAAACAAGACUGUUCCAGAUUAAGAAAUCCUUUGUUUUAUUGUGAAUUCAAACAUAUGCCUAUUUUUCUUAGGAAACUGAGCUGACCUACAACAGUUUCAAAUACARUGUGUUAUCUUCUAAGGGAGGAAGAUGGCUUUCAUGUCCAAAGCAAGCACCAUUUCACAACCACCUCCCAUAAUAGCAUUGCUUAUAACCAACACUUAGUAGCCUUUCCCAUCUCUAAUUUUGAAAGUACUUUUCAAAGCUAGGUAAAGUCAUUAACUCUCUUCUGUAGAUGGAGAAGCAGACAAAGGUGUAGUAGAGACAGUGAAUCACCCAGCCUCUAGUUCCAGUUAACAAGACUAGAAACAGUAGCAUAAGAAAACUCUGGCAAAAUAAUAAUYCAGCUCAGAAUUACAGUAAAUGAAAGUGCAGUUCAUGAGCUCUUCUCAAACUAAGCUGCCUAAUCCCCCAGUCAGGUGACAGUACACUAUUCACUCUUGCAGUUUGAGUCAUGGGUACAGAUUGCACCCACCAAAGGAACCUCCUUCAAAAUCUUUACCAUGCUCUCUGAUAAACCAGGUGGAGGCUGGAGGCUUACUGAAAUUAAAGGAUGAAGAUUUGGCUUUGUUGUUGAAAUUAAGUUUUGAGCAGAGCAGCCUUAACAAAAGAUCCUACUCCAAAGCUAGUCUGCAUGUAGGAGUGUGGAAUUGUAGAUGACAGAGUGAAGACAUAUCAACGUUGGCAGGAGAAAGCAGACUUGAGGUACCUCUAAUUAUGUUAACCCUCCACAKGCAAACUCAGGAUCCUCAGCAUCUGGCUCUCCUGAGCUGGCAGGACACACACUGCCCAAGUGCUAAGUAGUCUAGCUCUCCUAGCCCAGGUUCAGGGCUUACUAGGUAAAACACAGCGUGAAGCUAGUGCAUCGAGCUGCAAGAGCGCUGGGGCGGCUCUGGGGAUAGAGCAUCUCUGAAGCGAUCCCUUUGCAGUACGCCGGAUUCUCAGGGCUCCGGGCAGUGUGCUCCAGAAUGAGGGAACGGGUUUAUGAGUUGGAGUUCUGUUCUGUUUGACCCCAGAGAAAUACUUGACCUCAGUUAUCUCAGUUUACUAAAGUGUAGGGUAGAUUUUACUGUAACCACUUACAGCAUUUCACCUGGAUAGUUUAAGUGAUACAUAAAGCAACAGAUAUUCCAGAAGGUUUUUUUUUUUUUUUUUUUUAAGUAUAAUCCUGCCUUUUGAUAUAGGUUGGCUCAAACUUCAAAAACCAAGCUCUGGGAAACUGGACCUUUACCCUGCUUGCAGGCUUCAUGAAUGUAUCCUGUCUGUUGAAGGCCUGAAUCCUUUUAGCAUGUAUCAGCAUGCUUUUUGUCUAAAUAYUGCCUUCUGCACAAAUCUCAAGAACAUGUUAGUUAGAGCAUGGUAGUUUUAGGCUGUAUCAAGAUGAAYUUGGUGCUUUCAAUCUAUUAUAAUGUUUGAUCUUUCUGACCCCAAAUCAAAGCUAUUUUCUAAAGCAUUACCAUGGUGAUGCACAAUGCAGUGUAUUGUCUGUCAGUGCCAGUACUCUUAAAGCUUUGUUUAAAUGCUUUUGGGCUGAAUAAAAAUAUGUAUGUGAAAUAAUAGUGUAUUAUG